GUGUUUGGACCUGUGUUAGCAGGCCACCGUCUAUAAUACAGCCACUGUUGGUCUACCCACCACUAUACAUAUACAGGGUAUACUAAUAGUAAGGCACUCACAAAGACAUUAGUGACAUGGUUGGUGGUUCCUGUGAUCCUGGACACCACCUCACACACUUGCCAGAUACUGGGACGAAGCUCAGGGUCAGAGGUCAACAGGUAAGCUACAAUGAGGGGGAGAAUACACGUACCAUUAGAGCAACAUACUUAAGACUGGCAGAAUAAGCGUUAUUAUAAUAGUCUUUAGGGAAAUUUAUACGUAUACCCUGUGUGUGUGUGUGUGUGUGUGUGUGGGCGUGGUCUCACCUAUCAAGUUGUGCAGGUCUUGUGUGUAGGGAGAGUCUUCAGGAAUACUGUACUGAGCACUGACUAUGGCUAGAGGGUUGUCACUAAAUGGAGUAUCCAUGAAGCACAGCUUGAACAGUAGUACACCCAGUUCCUGUGUGUGGGCGGGUGUGUCUUGUGUGAGGGUGUGAGGGUGUGAUAAUAUGGGUAUUAUUAGAUUCGUCGCUUAAGCCUACCACCACUCAUCCCGACAGACCACAUUCACUUCAAUUAAAAUGUAAACCUUAUUAGAAGUCAACCACUUAGCUACAGUGUACACAGUGGGACCACACAUAAAGUGGAUAUUUCGCCCCUUUCAGCCUUGUUUCUCAGUAAACAUAAUCAUUGCUCAGAUCCUCCCCCUUUUCAGAGAGGUGUCACAUUCCACCCCUUUCACAGUAAACAAAGCAAUUUGGUAGAAUGUCAUUGAAAGGUCAUAAUUAGUGAAAGGUCACCUCCAAUAGUACUGCCACAUGUCCAUACAUGCAUGGAUAAACAAUUACACCAUACUGUAGUUUAAAAUACCACGACAUAUGAAAUCUCUGAGCCCAUGCCAACUCAGCUAGGUAUGGUUGCUCAAUAUUGACCUCCCUCCACCAAUAAGGUCUAACACAUGGGCAAGCAAUACUAUCGGGAAAUAUGAACAAAACAAUGAACCUCGUGAUUAUUAUCAGUAGCCUACAACAGGUCCCGUCUCUACAAAGCAUCUCCCCUCACCUCCAUCCUUUCAUGCAUUCAUCCAUUCUAAUCCUAUAGCACAGCCACUGGACUGGCACAUGCUGGCAGCAGAUCACAUUCACGCUGAGUAGGUAAUGGCAUAUGCUAGGCCUCGUCAUAGAUAGUGGUAUGGCCUCAUCAACCUCAUCUUCAGCGCGGCCUGAGACGGAGGCUAAAAGAUCCCCUUCCUCCCACGUUUGUGACUUGUUGCAGUUCACCCACGUAGCGUGUCGUGCACAGAGUCAUGGAGUAUGUUCUCCAUCUGAAUCAAAAUCAGUGGAAAUAAUUAUAAUUAUGUGAGCUUAAAUGCUUGGUAACCGUGAUUUCAAUGGAUUGUACAGGCCUUGAAAUACAAAAAUACGCUCGCAAAAAUAGCAUUAAUCAUCAUUUAUUUCUAGCUCUACGGUAUUAUCAACUAUUGGAUAGAGCUAUUGGAUGAUACUUUAUAGUCUAAUAAAGGUAGCGCUCACCUUUCCCCUGAGUUAGAGUGUUGGUCCAUUGUGUCCAGUGCACCGUGCUAGCUAGUAGGACCACUCCAAUGGAUGUGCUCUCAGAGUAUUAGAACUGUAAUGAAUGCACCACAUGGCCAGUGGGUAAAGGAUCGUCAAACCAUUAGACAAAAUAUGUUUAAUUUUGUAGAUUUGAUAAACCUCAGACACGCUCACACACAAGAUGGAGACGGCUGGUGAGGAAAAGCGUUCACUUGUCCUUCCCUCUAGGAGCUUCCAUAAGGCUGGAUAUCGGGUGGAUACUCCUCCAAAAGACCAGCAGCAAUGGAUCACGAGACAAAGAGCAUCGCAGCGUGUACAAUGAUGGAGAGCACGAGAGGGGCGGAGUCAGUGACAAGUUGCUAUGACAACAUAUGAUGGAGGAGUUACAAGGUGACACUGUGGAGUUUGCGUACAACCCAUUGGACGUCUUUCACUGCAGAUAAAGGAACACAAUUAAGAAAUAGUGAGUACUGCCGCGUGCAGAGUGUGACUCUUUCCCCCACCAGAACUGUGAUCUGAGCAUGUCAUGUGAUAGGCCUUGUCUAGAGCUACAGAAUGCAUCUCUUAGUUUUGAUAUUGAUUGCUUUUUAGUGAAGUUAUGACCUCCUGAAAGUUGCUUAAAUUAUACAUUUUAUGGGGAAAGUGUUGUGUGUACUAGUGAG